rnacentral:rRNA from 1 species
GACGAACGCUGGCGGCGUGCUUAACACAUGCAAGUCGAACGGUAAGGCUCCAGCUUGCUGGGGUACACGAGUGGCGAACGGGUGAGUAACACGUGGGUGACCUGCCCUGCACUUCGGGAUAAGCCUGGGAAACUGGGUCUAAUACCGGAUAGGACCGCACCGUGAGGGUGUGGUGGAAAGUUUUUUCGGUGUGGGAUGGGCCCGCGGCCUAUCAGCUUGUUGGUGGGGUAAUGGCCUACCAAGGCGGCGACGGGUAGCCGGCCUGAGAGGGUGGACGGCCACAUUGGGACUGAGACACGGCCCAGACUCCUACGGGAGGCAGCAGUGGGGAAUAUUGCACAAUGGGCGGAAGCCUGAUGCAGCGACGCCGCGUGGGGGAUGACGGCCUUCGGGUUGUAAACUCCUUUCACCAUCGACGAAGGGUUUCUGACGGUAGAUGGAGAAGAAGCACCGGCUAACUACGUGCCAGCAGCCGCGGUAAUACGUAGGGUGCGAGCGUUGUCCGGAAUUACUGGGCGUAAAGAGCUCGUAGGUGGUUUGUCGCGUCGUCUGUGAAAUUCCGGGGCUUAACUCCGGGCGUGCAGGCGAUACGGGCAUAACUUGAGUACUGUAUGGGAGACUGGAAUUCCUGGUGUAGCGGUGAAAUGCGCAGAUAUCAUGAGGAACACCGGUGGCGAAGGUGGGUCUCUGGGCAGUAACUGACGCUGAGGAGCGAAAACAUGGGGGAGCGAACAAGG